UACGUAGGGUGCAAGCGUUGUCCGGAAUUAUUGGGCGUAAAGAGCUUGUAGGCGGUUUGUCGCGUCUGCUGUGAAAUUUCGGGGCUCAACCCCGAACUUGCAGUGGGUACGGGCAGACUAGAGUGUGGUAGGGGAGACUGGAAUUCCUGGUGUAGCGGUGAAAUGCGCAGAUAUCAGGAGGAACACCGAUGGCGAAGGCAGGUCUCUGGGCCACUACUGACGCUGAGACACGAAAGCCAGGGGAGCGAACGGG
rnacentral:rRNA from 1 species